GCAUUGUUUUCGAAUUUUUUCAUGCAUCAAAGCUCGUUAAGACUAGAUGGGGUAUCCCUACAUAGCGGGUGGGACCCACGGCGAAUGGUUCAUCAAGUCUUCAAAAAAGAAUAUAUACGAUUGCAUUGCAUAUACUAACGGAUGCGAUCAUACCAGCACUAAUGCACCGGAUCCCAUCCGAACUCCGCAGUUAAGCGUGCUUGGGCGAGAGUAGUACUAGGAUGGGUGACCUCCCGGGAAGUCCUCGUGUUGCAUCCCUCUUUUAUGUUUAACCUUUUUUUUUUUGGUUAAAACUUUAUGACUCCAUAACUUUUACACAG
rnacentral:rRNA from 1 species